rnacentral:rRNA from 1 species
GGUAUUUUGACUGUGCAAAGGUAGCAUAAUCCUUAGUUUUUUAAUUGAAAGCUGGAAUGAAAGGUUGGAUGAGAAAAAAGCUGUCUCUAUUUAAUUUAUUUAGAAUUUUAUUUUUAAGUUAAAAAGCUUAAAUUUAAAUAGAAGACGAGAAGACCCUAUAGAGUUUUAUUAAUUUUUUUUAUAAAGCUAGUAGUAUUUUUUAUUUUUAUAUAAAUAAUUAAUUUAGUUGGGGUGAUUGAAAAAUUAAAAGAACUUUUUUUUUAUGUGUACAUAGAUAUAUGGUUAAUUGAUCCUUAAUUUAAGAUUAGAAGAUAAAAUUACCUUAGGGAUAACAGCGUAAUUUUUUUUGAGAGUUCAAAUCGAAAAAAAAGAUUGCGACCUCGAUGUUGGAUUAAAAUAAAAUUUUGGUGUAGAAGCUAAAG